AUUGAACGCUGGCGGCAGGCUUAACACAUGCAAGUCGAGCGAGCGGCGGACGGGUGAGUAAUGUCUGGGAAACUGCCUGAUGGAGGGGGAUAACUACUGGAAACGGUAGCUAAUACCGCAUACCAUCAGAUGUGCCCAGAUGGGAUUAGCUAGUAGGUGGGGUAAUGGCUCACCUAGGCGAUGAUCCCUAGCUGGUCUGAGAGGAGGACCAGCCACAUUGGAACUGAGACACGCUCCAGACUCCUACGGGGGGCAGCAGUGGGGAAUAUUGCACAAUGGGCGCAAGCCUGCUGCAGCCAGGCGGCGGGUGUGAAGAAGGCCUUCGGGUUGUAAAGCACUUUCAGCGAGGAGGCGUUACUCGCAGAAGAAGCACCGGCUAACUCCGUGCCAGCCGCCGCGGUAAUUC
rnacentral:rRNA from 1 species